AGCUCCUACGGGGGGCAGCAGUGGGGAAUAUUGCACAAUGGGGGAAACCCUGAUGCAGCGACGCCGCGUGAGUGAAGAAGUAUUUCGGUACGUAAAGCUCUAUCAGCAGGAAAGAAAAUGACGGUACCUGACUAAGAAGCCCCGGCUAACUACGUGCCAGCAGCCGCGGUAAUACGUAGGGGGCAAGCGUUAUCCGGAUUUACUGGGUGUAAAGGGAGCGUAGACGGCAGCGCAAGUCUGGUGUGAAAUGCCGGGGCCCAACCCCGGCACUGCUCUGGAAACUGU
rnacentral:rRNA from 1 species